ACCAUCCUUUUCUUGGGGUUGCACUACUAUCCAAUGAAUGCACAGCGAGGGCAGUACUGCUAACACCUACGCAACACACUCGCAUUAGUUAAAGCUCUGCUUUAUUUUUGAUGCAAUUUUUUGGAAAA